GUGAGAGAGAAAUAUAUGGUGAAGCUGCUGUGAGAUCUUUGGGUUACAAAGUGGUAAAUAUCAUCUUUCUGGAUAAAUAUACAUUUUGUAUUGUAAAGAUGCACUAUGUAGUUCAUGUGUUAGUCUAAAAUAAGAUGUUUGAUGUGUAAUUUGAUUAGAUGCACGGAGUUCGCAUGUGUAAUGAGUGGACCGCUUGGUGAAACUAAAAGGGGUUAGAACAGAGCCACAACCUGGAUAACUUAAUUUCGUGUGCUGAGAUCUGCUGCACUCACCAGAGCUCAGUGGAGACGUUCUCUCAGGGCCCUGCUAACUGAUCACACAAACUCUGCUCAAAGUGAGUGUCUUCAGCCUGGCAGAUCACUUAAAACAUCAACAUAUGCAGCUGCAAGAGCAGACUAUUAUCAAUAAUCAUUAAAAAGGGUAUAUUUGAUGUUCAUAAAUAUGGAAAUAGAAAACAGAGAGAGGAAGUUUAUGCAUAGCGCAAGUAUCAUCCUUAUGCAUGCAAUGGCUGGAAUUAAACAUGUCAGCUAAACAUAUA